CACCUCUCAGGAUCGCAUCUAGAGAGUUUCCAGUCCUCUACAAGUCUCAACUAUGGGAGGGAGAGUCAAAUAGAGGCAUAUCCAUUCCAUUCCUAGCUUGGACAGUGGCUAGCCAGUGGAAGGCAAUCUGCUACAAGU
rfam:Ornithorhynchus anatinus chromosome X1, whole genome shotgun sequence.